UACGUAGGGGGCAAGCGUUAUCCGGAAUUACUGGGUGUAAAGGGAGAGUAGGCGGCAUGGUAAGUAAGAUGUGAAAGCCCCGGGCUUAACCUGGGGAUUGCAUUUUAAACUAUCAAGCUAGAGUACAGGAGAGGAAAGCGGAAUUCCUAGUGUAGCGGUGAAAUGCGUAGAUAUUAGGAAGAACACCAGUGGCGAAGGCGGCUUUCUGGACUGAAACUGACGCUGAGGCUCGAAAGCGUGGGGAGCAAACAGG
rnacentral:rRNA from 1 species